UUAAGUGACUAAGCGUACAAGGUGGAUGCCUUGGCAAUCAGAGGCGAAGAAGGACGUGCUAAUCUGCGAAAAGCUUGGAUGAGUCGAUAAGAGGCGUUUAAUCCAAGAUAUCCGAAUGGGGAAACCCAGUAGAUGAAGAAUCUACUAUCAACAAGUGAAUUCAUAGCUUGUUGAGGCAAACCGGGAGAACUGAAACAUCUAAGUACCCCGAGGAAAAGAAAUCAACCGAGAUUUCGUCAGUAGCGGCGAGCGAAAGCGAAAGAGCCAGUAAGUGAUAGCAGUAUAGUUAGGAGAAUGUGUUGGGAAGCACAAUCAAAGAGGGUGAUAAUCCCGUAUCUAAAAACCAUAUUGUGGUACUAAGCUAACGAGAAGUAGGGCGGGACACGUGAUAUCCUGUUUGAAGAAGGGGGGACCAUCCUCCAAGGCUAAAUACUCCUGAUUGACCGAUAGUGAACCAGUACUGUGAAGGAAAGGCGAAAAGAACCCCGGUGAGGGGAGUGAAAUAGAACCUGAAACCUUGUACGUACAAGCAGUGGGAGCCUGAAAGGGUGACUGCGUACCUUUUGUAUAAUGGGUCAGCGACUUAUAUUUUGUAGCGAGGUUAACUGAAUAAGGGAGCCGAAGGGAAACCGAGUCUUAACUGGGCGAAUAGUUGCAAGGUAUAGACCCGAAACCCGGUGAUCUAGCCAUGGGCAGGUUGAAGGUUGGGUAACACUAACUGGAGGACCGAACCGACUAAUGUUGAAAAAUUAGCGGAUGACUUGUGGCUGGGGGUGAAAGGCCAAUCAAACCGGGAGAUAGCUGGUUCUCCCCGAAAUCUAUUUAGGUAGAGCCUUGAGGUGACACCUUUGGGGGUAGAGCACUGUUUCGGCUAGGGGUCCAUCCCGGAUUACCAACCCGAUGCAAACUACGAAUACCAAAGAGUGAUACUCAGGAGACACACGGCGGGUGCUAACGUCCGUCGUGGAGAGGGAAACAACCCAGACCGCCAGCUAAGGUCCCCAAGUCUAUAUUAAGUGGGAAACGAAGUGGGAAGGCUUAGACAGCUAGGAUGUUGGCUUAGAAGCAGCCAUCAUUUAAAGAAAGCGUAAUAGCUCACUAGUCGAGUCGGCCUGCGCGGAAGAUGUAACGGGGCUCAAAUAUAGCACCGAAGCUGCGGCAUCAGGCGUAUCACUAAUACGCCUUACGAUUAACAAGCUAGAAUGGCGCGAAGCGACAUGAAAGGUUGUUCAAGCGACCCGAACGUUGAGUCGGGUAUCUUUGAGUGAGGAUGAUUAGUGAUACGCCUGUUGGGUAGGGGAGCGUUGUGUAAGCGGAAGAAGGUUCAUCGAGAGGUGGGCUGGACGUAUCACAAGUGCGAAUGCUGACAUAAGUAACGAUAAAACGGGUGAAAAACCCGUUCGCCGGAAGACCAAGGGUUCCUGUCCAACGUUAAUCGGGGCAGGGUGAGUCGGCUCCUAAGGCGAGGCUGAAAAGCGUAGUCGAUGGGAAACAGGUUAAUAUUCCUGUACUUGGUAAAGCUGCGAUGUGGGGACGGAGUAGGUUAGGUUAUCGCACUGUUGGAUAUGUGCGUUUAAGUUGGUAGGUGGGAAGUUUAGGCAAAUCCGGACUUCCUUAACACAGAGAGAUGAUGACGAGGCUCUACGGAGCUGAAGUAACUGAUACCACACUUCCAGGAAAAGCCACUAAGCGAAAGGCUUUACUAAACCGUACUAAAAACCGACACAGGUGGUCAGGUAGAGAAUACUCAGGCGCUUGAGAGAACUCGGGUGAAGGAACUAGGCAAAAUAGCACCGUAACUUCGGGAGAAGGUGCGCCGGCGUAGAUUGUAGUCCCUAGCGGGCGAAGGUUGAACCGGUCGAAGAUACCAGCUGGCUGCAACUGUUUAUUAAAAACACAGCACUCUGCAAACACGAAAGUGGACGUAUAGGGUGUGAUGCCUGCCCGGUGCUGGAAGGUUAAUUGAUGGUGUCAUCGAAAGAGAAGCACCUGAUCGAAGCCCCAGUAAACGGCGGCCGUAACUAUAACGGUCCUAAGGUAGCGAAAUUCCUUGUCGGGUAAGUUCCGACCUGCACGAAUGGCAUAAUGAUGGCCAGGCUGUCUCCACCCGAGACUCAGUGAAAUUGAAAUCGCCGUGAAGAUGCGGUGUACCCGCGGCUAGACGGAAAGACCCCGUGAACCUUUACUAUAGCUUGACACUGAACAUUGAAUUUUGAUGUGUAGGAUAGGUGGGAGACUUAGAAGCAGUCACGCCAGUGAUUGUGGAGUCAUCCUUGAAAUACCACCCUUUAACGUUUGAUGUUCUAACGAAGAUUGCGGAACGCGGUCUCGGACAGUGUCUGGUGGGUAGUUUGACUGGGGCGGUCUCCUCCCAAAGCGUAACGGAGGAGCACGAAGGUUUGCUAAUCACGGUCGGACAUCGUGAGGUUAGUGCAAUGGUAUAAGCAAGCUUAACUGCGAGACAGACAAGUCGAGCAGGUACGAAAGUAGGUCAUAGUGAUCCGGUGGUUCUGAAUGGAAGGGCCAUCGCUCAACGGAUAAAAGGUACUCCGGGGAUAACAGGCUGAUACCGCCCAAGAGUUCAUAUCGACGGCGGUGUUUGGCACCUCGAUGUCGGCUCAUCACAUCCUGGGGCUGAAGUAGGUCCCAAGGGUAUGGCUGUUCGCCAUUUAAAGUGGUACGCGAGCUGGGUUUAGAACGUCGUGAGACAGUUCGGUCCCUAUCUGCCGUGGGCGUAGGAUGAUUGAUUGGGGCUGCUCCUAGUACGAGAGGACCGGAGUGGACGCAUCACUGGUGUUCCAGUUGUCUCGCCAGAGGCAUUGCUGGGUAGCUAAAUGCGGAAGAGAUAAGUGCUGAAAGCAUCUAAGCACGAAACUUGCCAAGAGAUGAGUCAUCCCUGACUUUAAGUCAGUAAGGGUUGUUGUAGACUACGACGUAGAUAGGUCUGGUGUGUAAGUGUAGUGAUACAUUGAGCUAACAGAUACUAAUUGCCCGAGAGGCUUAACUAU
rnacentral:rRNA from 1 species